rnacentral:lncRNA from 1 species
GAGGAGUCGAAAGACCUGUCAAGUAUUUCUUUGGUAGAGUUUUUGAAUGCCUUGCAGGCACAGGAGCAAAGAAGACUGAUUAGGCAAGAAGGGUUUGUGGAAGGAGCUUUGUAGGCCAAACAACAAAUCCAAGGAGGCAAAGGCAAGAAGGGCAAAAAGAACAACUCAAACAAAAGUGAUGCUGGAGUUGGAAAUAGCAACAACAAAGGAGGAACUUACCCUC